AUUGAACGCUGGCGGCAUGCUUUACACAUGCAAGUCGAACGGCAGCGCGGGCUUCGGCCUGGCGGCGAGUGGCGAACGGGUGAGUAAUGCAUCGGAACGUGCCCAGUAGUGGGGAUAGCCCGGCGAAAGCCGGAUUAAUACCGCAUACGACCUGAGGGUGAAAGCGGGGGACCGAAAGGCCUCGCGCUAUUUGAGCGGCCGAUGGCGGAUUAGCUGGUUGGUGGGGUAAAGGCUUUACAAGGCGACGAUCCGUAGCUGGUCUGAGAGGACGACCAGCCACACUGGGACUGAGACACGGCCCAGACUCCUACGGGAGGCAGCAGUGGGGAAUUUUGGACAAUGGGGGCAACCCUGAUCCAGCCAUGCCGCGUGCGGGAAGAAGGCCUUCGGGUUGUAAACCGCUUUUGUUCGGGAAGAAAUCCUCUGGGCUAAUACCCCGGGGGGAUGACGGUACCGGAAGAAUAAGCACCGGCUAACUACGUG
rnacentral:rRNA from 1 species